rnacentral:pre_miRNA from 1 species
UCUGAAAGAGCAGUUGGUCUUUAUUUUUUUUACUAAAUAGCAGUUGCUCUUUUGGAAG